GGGCGCGGAGGUUCUGCUGGUAACAAGUUCCGAUUGUCAAUGGGUCUACCGGUGGCAGCCACUGUCAACUGCGCUGAUAACACUGGUGCCAAGAACCUCUACAUAAUCUCCGUGAAGGUAAUCAAGGGGCUCCUAAACAGGCUCCCUUCUACCUGCAUUGAUGACAUGGUUAUGGCCACUGUCAAGAAGGGAAAGUCAUACCUGAGGAAGAAAGUCAUGCCGGCUGUCAUUGUGAGACAGCAUAAGCCAUGGCGCUGAAAGGACAGUGUCUUCAUGUACUUUGAAGGUACUGCCACGUUCUUAUGA
rnacentral:rRNA from 1 species